GCCAGACUCCUACGGGAGGCAGCAGUAGGGAAUUUUGCGCAAUGGGGGAAACCCUGACGCAGCAACACCGCGUGAAUGUUAAGCUCUUCGGGGUGUAAAGUUCUGUCAAUAGGGACGAAUUUUGACUGUACCUAUAAAGGAAGCACCGACUAACUCCGUGCCAGCAGCCGCGGUAAUACGGGGGGUGCAAGCGUUGUCCGGAAUCAUUGGGCGUAAAGCGUUCGUAGGCGGUAUGUCAAGUCUGAUGUUAAAGCCCGGGGCUCAACUCCGGUUCGGCAUUGGAUACUGGCAAACUAGAAUGUGGUAGAGGUAAAGGGAAUUCCUGGUGUAGCGGUGAAAUGCGUAGAUAUCAGGAGGAACAUCGGUGGCGAAGGCGGCCUGCUGGACCGUAACUGACGUUGAGGCUCGAAAGCGUGGGGAGCAAACAGGAUUAGAUACCCUAGUAU
rnacentral:rRNA from 1 species